rnacentral:tRNA from 1 species
UAGAGUCAGCUAAACAAGCUAUUGGGCCCAUACCCCGAAAAUGUUGGUUCGCACCCUUCCUCUACUAAU